rnacentral:rRNA from 1 species
AACAAACGCUGGCGGCGUGCCUAAUACAUGCAAGUCGAACGGGGAAAGCUUUCGGGUGAGUACUAGUGGCGCACGGGUGAGGAACGCGUGGAUAAUCUGCCUUAGAGUGGGGGAUAACUAGUCGAAAGAUUAGCUAAUACCGCAUAAGACCACGAGAGCUGCGGCUUUUGAGGUCAAAGGUUUUUCGCUCUAAGAUGAGUCCGCGUAAGAUUAGCUAGUUGGUGAGGUAACGGCUCACCAAGGCGACGAUCUUUAACUGGUCUGAGAGGAUGAUCAGUCACACUGGAACUGAGACACGGUACAGACUCCUACGGGAGGCAGCAGUAGGGAAUAUUGCACAAUGGAGGAAACUCUGAUGCAGCGACGCCGCGUGAGUGAUGAAGGCCUUCGGGUCGUAAAGCUCUGUCGCAGGGGAAUAACACAAUGAAGGUACCCUGUAAGAAAGAAUCGGCUAACUUCGUG